rnacentral:rRNA from 1 species
AUUGAACGCUGGCGGCAUGCCUUACACAUGCAAGUCGAACGGCAGCAUGGAAGAGCUUGCUCUUCUGAUGGCGAGUGGCGAACGGGUGAGUAAAGCAUCGGAACGUACCGUGUAGUGGGGGAUAACGUAGCGAAAGUUACGCUAAUACCGCAUACGCACUGAGGUGGAAAGCAGGGGAUCGCAAGACCUUGCGCUAUACGAGCGGCCGAUGUCAGAUUAGCUAGUUGGUAGGGUAAAGGCCUACCAAGGCGACGAGCUGUAGCGGGUCCGAGAGGAUGAUCCGCCACCCUGGGACUGGGACACGGCCCAGACUCCCACGGGAGGCAGCAGUGGGGAAUUUUGGACAAUGGGGGAAACCCUGAUCCAGCCAUGCCGCGUGAGUGAAGAAGGCCUUCGGGUUGUAAAGCUCUUUCGGCCGGGAAGAAAUCGCACAGGCUAAUACUCUGUGUGGAUGACGGUACCAGCACAAGAAGCACCGGCUAACUACGUGCCAGCAGCCGCGGUAA